CAGUCGCCGCGGGAAUACGAAGGGGGCUAGCGUUGUUCGGAAUUACUGGGCGUAAAGCGCACGUAGGCGGAUAUUUAAGUCAGGGGUGAAAUCCCGCAGCUCAACUGCGGAACUGCCUUUGAUACUGGGUAUCUUGAGUAUGGAAGAGGUUAGUGGAAUUGCGAGUGUAGAGGUGAAAUUCGUAGAUAUUCACAGGAACACCAGUGGCGAAGGCGGCUAACUGGUCCAUAACUGACGCUGAGGUGCGAAAGCGUGGGGAGCAAACAGGAUUAGAGACCCCUGUAGUCCCUGUCUCUUAUAA
rnacentral:rRNA from 1 species